UACGUAGGGGGCAAGCGUUGUCCGGAUUUAUUGGGCGUAAAGAGCGUGUAGGCGGUUUGGUAGGUCCGCUGUGAAAACUCGAGGCUCAACCUCGAGACGCCGGUGGAAACCAUCAGGCUAGAGUCCGGAAGAGGAGAGUGGAAUUCCUGGUGUAGUGGUGAAAUGCGUAGAGAUCAGGAGGAAUAUCAGAGGCGAAGGCGACGAACUGGACAGUAACUGACACUCAACUACGAAAGCGUGGGUAGCAAACAGG
rnacentral:rRNA from 1 species